GAUGAAGAACGUAGCGAAAUGCGAUAAGUAAUGUGAAUUGCAGAAUUCAGUGAAUCAUCGAAUCUUUGAACGCACAUUGCGCCCGCUAGUAUUCUGGCGGGCAUGCCUGUCCGAGCGUCAUUUCAACCCUCAAGCCCCCGGGCUUGGUGUUGGGGAUCGGCGAGCCUCCGCGCCCGCCGUCCCCUAAAUCUAGUGGCGGUCUCGCUGUAGCUUCCUCUGCGUAGUAGCACACCUCGCACUGGGAAACAGCGCGGCCACGCCGUUAAACCACCAACUUCUGAACGUUUGACCUCGGAUCAGGUAGGAAUACCCGCUGAACUUAAGCAUAUCAAUAAGCGGAGGA
rnacentral:misc_RNA from 1 species